GUCUAUGGCCAUGCCACCCUGAACAAGCCCCAUGUCUGAUCUGGGAAGCUAAACAGGGUCGGGCCUGGUUAGUACUUGGAUAGGAGACCACCUAGGAAGACCAGGUGCUGUAGGUA
rnacentral:rRNA from 1 species